rnacentral:tRNA from 3 species
GGAGGGCUCGCAUAGUGGCCGAGUGCACCGGUCUUGAAAACCGGCAAGGGAAACCUUCGUGGGUUCAAAUCCCACGCCCUCCGCCA